AGCAUAGGAGCUGUAUCCUCCAUUAAUUUCUAGAUGCGUGUGGUGGUGUGCUGUACGGCCCCAACGGCACUAUAACGUCUCCUUCGUUCCCCGACCUGUAUCCGCCGUCAAAGAAUUGUCUGUGGGAGAUAGUGGCGCCCUCGCAGCACCGCAUCACGCUCAACUUCACGCAUUUUGAUCUGGAGGGCACGAAUAAUAUGUAUCAUCAGGAAUGCGAAUACGAUAGCGUGACCGUGCACUCGCGGCUCGGGGAUGAAGUGCUCCGGCGUCACGGUGCCUUCUGCGGCUCCGCGUUACCACCGCCCGUCACCUCGGACGGCAACGUGCUACGCGUGCAGUUUACAUCGGACACAUCGGUACACCACUCUGGGUUCGCGGCGACGUACUACAUGG